GAUGGCAGUAGCAGUUUUUGAACAAAAGAGAGAAGAGAAAACCGAGAGAAAGAAAGGAAGAAGAGGCAGCAGAGCAGUCUGUCUUCUUUCUUCGAUUUCCAGUUCGUUCACCGUUGGAUCGGGCUGAGAUUUGGACAGCAGCUUCUAGACACGUUACUCUUCAUUCUGAACGGUUGGAUUGAAGAUUGGUGGUGUGGAAGCUAGUCGUUUUGACAGAAAACGGGGCUGUCAGUGUUGUGAGCUUUUCUCUAACAUUACUCUCUUUAAUCUUGUUGUAAUCCGAGAAUAAGUUGUUCUUGAUGAUAUAUAUGUUGUAGCCCUUAGUUGAAUCUGAGGAAGAACUAUUGUGAACCCAUUAUUUGUGAUAGUGGAAGUUUUUAGGUGGACUCCGGUCCCGUGGUUUUUCCCGCAUCGGGUUUUCCACGUAAAAAUCUUGGUGUUGAUUUGUGUGAUUGUUGCAUUAUAUUUGUUCAUUGUUUGAUUCUGUUUUUUACUGCACAAAGAGGGAAAAAGGAUUGGGACUUGUGAA